rnacentral:rRNA from 1 species
AUACCCCGGUAGUCCUGGCCCUAAACGAUGUCCACUAGGUCGGUGGUUCUCUGACGGAUCACUGGCCGAAACAAAAGCGAUAAGUGGACCGCCUGGGGAGUACGGUCGCAAGGCUAAAACUCAAAGGAAUUGACGGGGGCUCACACAAGCGGUGGAGUAUGUUGCUCAAUUCGAUGCAACGCGAAGAACCUUAUCCUGGGCUUGACAUGUAGGAGCCUCUACCCGGAAACGGAAUAGAGUUGCCCUUCGGGGUGUAAGCCUACACAGGUGCUGCAUGGCUGUCGUCAGCUCGUGUCGUGAGAUGUCGGGUUAAGUCCCAUAACGAGCGGAACCCUUGUCGCUAGUUGCCAGCGGGUCAUGCCGGGGACUCUAGCGAGACUGCCGGUGUCAAACCGGAGGAAGGCGGGGAUGACGUCAAGUCCUCAUGGCCUUUAUGCCCAGGGCUGCAAACGUACUACAAUGGUCGCUACAAACCGAAGCAAGACCGCGAGGUGGAGCAAAUCGGAGAAAAGCGGCCCCAGUUCAGAUUGGAGUCUGCAACUCGACUCCAUGAAGUUGGAAUCGCUAGUAAUCGCGGAUCAGCUAUGCCGCGG